AGAGUGAACGCUGGCGGUAGGCCUAACACAUGCAAGUCGAACGGCAGCACAGUAGGAGCUUGCUCUUACGGGUGGCGAGUGGCGGACGGGUGAGGAAUACAUCGGAAUCUACCUUUUGGUGGGGGAUAACGUAGGGAAACUUACGCUAAUACCGCAUACGCCCUUCGGGGAAAGCCGGGGACCAGCAAUGGCCUGGCGCUGAUAGAUGAGCCGAUGUCGGAUUAGCUAGUUGGUGAGGUAAUGGCUCACCAAGGCGACCGAUCCGUAGCUGGUCUGAGAGGAUGAUCAGCCACACUGGAACUGAGACACGGUCCAAGACCUCCGUACGGGAGCAGCAGUGGGGAAUAGUUGGACUAAAGUGGGCGUACGAAAGCC
rnacentral:rRNA from 1 species